AUUCUAUUUGUGUGGAAUUCUAGAAAAGGUAACAUUAUGAUGACAGGAAGGAGAUCUGUAGUUGCCUAGAGCUGGUGUCAGGGGAUGGGAUCCACUGAGAAGUAGCCCAGGGAACUUAUCGACAGAAUGGACCUCCUGUUCAGUAUCUUGAUUGUAGUAGUUUUUACAUAAUUACAUGUUAUCAAAAUGCAUCAAAAUGAAUACUUAUGAAAGCUACUAUACCUGUAAGAGAGCAACUCCGCAAGUUGGAGUUGGUCAUCGCCUUCUGUAAACAGGAAGACUCAGGACUGGAUAUACCAUGUGACCUUCCUACAGCCCUGCAAAGCUUGGAAACAAACUCCUGACUGUGGCUCUGUUCAGUGAAGGAUGAAUUCUCUGAGACUUCAUGAGUCUAUGGGAAAUAUCUCAACAAACAAAUGAAGAAGGACACAUUGGAAUAUCACCAUUUACUCCUAAUGAAUUAAGGAUGUAAGCACAGAGAAUCAGUGGCUACUUCUAAGACAAGAAGAGAAAAUUAGAUAGCAUGUUCCUCUUGAGGAAGAUGUCACCCACCAUCUGAGAAGAUGCUUUCCCCCAAACAACCAAUUGUGAAUGUGAUUUAACCCUUUAAAUUCAACUACUGAUUCACAGGGAGUGCUGAGGCCAAAGAAAGAUGUGAAACCACACAAUGGGAACAUAACCUGCAAAAUAAAGGCUAAGGUAAACUGUACAGAGAUGAAAUGUCUUCUUCAACAAGCUGUCAUGCAGUAAGAAAAAUAAAAAAUUAAGGGACCACUCUAUAGAUUAAAAGAGAUCUAAAUGAUUAAUUAAAGUAUAAAAGCAUUAACUC
rnacentral:lncRNA from 1 species